GGCUUAGAGUUUGAUCAUGGCUCAGGAUGAACGCUGGCGGCGUGCUUAACACAUGCAAGUCGAACGAGAAUCAACGGAUUGAGGAUUCGUCCAAAUGAAGUUGAGGAAAGUGGCGGACGGGUGAGUAACGCGUGAGGAACCUGCCUCGGGGUGGGGAAUAACAGUUGGAAACAGCUGCUAAUACCGCAUAAUGCAACGGAAUCGCAUGACUCUGUUGCCAAAGAUUUAUCGCUCUGAGAUGGCCUCGCGUCUGAUUAGCUAGUUGGCGGGGUAACGGCCCACCAAGGCGACGAUCAGUAGCCGGACUGAGAGGUUGGCCGGCCACAUUGGGACUGAGACACGGCCCAGACUCCUACGGGAGGCAGCAGUGGGGAAUAUUGGGCAAUGGGCGCAAGCCUGACCCAGCAACGCCGCGUGAAGGAAGAAGGCUUUCGGGUUGUAAACUUCUUUUGUCAGGGACGAACAAAUGACGGUACCUGACGAAUAAGCCACGGCUAACUACGUGCCAGCAGCCGCGGUAAUACGUAGGUGGCAAGCGUUAUCCGGAUUUAUUGGGUGUAAAGGGCGUGUAGGCGGGACUGCAGGUCAGAUGUGAAAACCACGGGCUCAACCUGUGGCCUGCAUUUGAAACUGUAGUUCUUGAGUGUCGGAGAGGCAAUCG
rnacentral:rRNA from 1 species